GGUGAGACAACAAAUUAGACAGAAUGCACAAUAUAAUUGAACUAUGAAAAAAGUGCAUGUUAAAUGUGAUUUUGAAAACUCUUCAUAGUUUUAUUUAAGAUUGAUUAAUUACCUGAGAUAAGGCCAAGUAGUUCCUUAGUAGUGAUGAGGAGGAGGAGGAGGAGGAGGUGAGGUGUAGUAAUAAUGCUUGGGUGGUGGUGGCGGUGGAGACUUGUAUUUGUAUACCGGUGUUGGUGGGGGUGGGGACUUGUACUUGUAAACUGGAGGAGGUGGCGGGGGAGACUUGUAUUUGUAAACUGGUGGUGGUGGAGACUUGUAUUUGUAAACUGGUGUUGGUGGUGGUGGGGACUUGUACUUGUAAACUGGUGGUGGUGGGGACUUGUAUUUGUAAACUGGUGGUGGUGGUGGUGGAGACUUGUACUUGUAGACUGGUGGUGGUGGUGAUUUAUAGUGGUAAUGAGGUGGAUGAGAGUGCACUGAGGGAGGUGGUGGUGGUGACUUGUAAUGGUAAGGAGGGGGAGGGGAGUGCACCGGAGGUGGUGGUGGUGGUGAUUUGUAGUGGUAAUGUGGUGGUAGGGAGUGCACUGGAGGUGGUGGUGGUGGUGACUUGUAGUGAUAUGGUGGUGGUGGUGGGGAGUGCACUGGGGGAGGAGGUGGUGGAGACUUGUAGUGAUAAGGAUGGGGAGGAGAGUGCACAGGAGGUGGCGGUGGUGGUGAUUUGUAAUGAUAAGUUGGUGGUGGUGGCGGUGAAUUGUAAUGGUAAAGAGGAGAGGGGAAAUGGUCGGUAGCUGCGGUUUCUAAUGGCAAGUUUAGGGACACUAAUACCACUACAAGAGUGACCAUAAGAGUGUCCAUUUUGGACCCCUUUGCUAUUCUUACCAUCUUUUUACUACAAAU
rnacentral:lncRNA from 1 species